GAGCUGCCAGACAGAAAGCAGCAGCAUCAGCAAAAGCCUUCAGAGCCCCUUGCUUCUAGCCUCCUUCCUUUCUCCCUCAGCACUUAGAAGCCUCUGGUUUAGUGGACAGGCCAGCUCUUUGCUCAGUCCAUGAAAGGGCUGGGUGUAGCAGAAGAACCCGCUAGAUUUUCUGACACUGGCCAUUCCAGCUCCUGUUUCAAUGCCACUUCUGAGCCAUGCACCGAGGUAAUGAGCAACUGAAUUAAGCAGGAAGGUCCAUAAAUGAAUCUAAAUUUAUUUCAACUUGGUAAGAUAGACAAUGUUACCCUACCUGAUGCUGAAACUGGUCGUGCAGAUCUCUCUUCUGCUCCUGGGCUCGGAUCAUGUCCAUCACUUUGCGAUUUUCUGGCAUGCAAGUAGGACAUUCUGAAUCGCUCUCAGAGUAGCUUUCAAAGCAGUGCUGGUGAAAGGAAUGACCACACAGGAAGUGGACUGAAGGGAGCUCCAGUGCACUGGUGCAAAUGCUACACUUGGUCUUCUGAAAAAUCUUGGGACUGAGUGACAAGAUGGAGAAGCAUGAGAAAGACAAACUACACUUCACCUUACUAAAAGAAAACAGCAGUUCUGUCCUUGAAUAGGACUAGACAAGACAGCACACAUUCCUGCACCUUGCUUUUAGCUCUUCAAUUUCCAGGCGGAUCCUCGUAGUUUCUUCUCGGUAUUUCUGAAUUCUCUGCUCAUCCUGCUCUAUCUGGCGGCUUUGCUUCUGCAGCUUGUUGACAAGAUAAUCCUUAAUCACAGACAGGGUGGCUGUGGAGUUAUGAGCCAGCGUCUGCACAACUGAGAGCAACUGAGAUGUUAGUUUAAACACAAGCACAAAAACUGCAGCUAUGCUUGUACUGUCAGGACAGACUGCUUUCCUGGGACAGGCCACUUACAGCCAAAGACAGCUGGCAUUCUCAUGGAAUUGGAAGACCUCACUUAAAGAUUCUCUUUCAGUUUGAUCUCUUCCAGAAAUGGGUGACUGGGAGCAUGUCUGGAUAACUCAGACCAAAAGGGACAAAGAAUGGAUCUAGUAGUGGAUUGGAUUUUAGUUCUCCACCAAGGCUCAACAGGAGUUUCAGCACACCCUGCACUGCCCCACACUGACAGACAGAAAUCAUGUAUGAGACAUCUCACUGACACUGCAGAUCUUUCUCCAUAACUAGGGAGCUGUGACUGACAUUGUUUUUCCCUAUGGAGCAGGUUAUUACUUCACAUGGUAGGCUCCAAUUUCAUUGAUUCUUCUAAUGUCUGAUCUACAGAAAGCACUACAAACAAGUCUGGGUUGGAGUCUUUUGUGGUUUGUUUUUCUGGUUUUUGCUUGGGUUGGGGUUCUAUGGCAGGGGAGGCUGAGGGUUGAAUGUCCUAUGUCAUUACCAAGCAGCGGAGGCAUAAGAUUCUUGUUCUCGAUGUGUUUCAGCACUGCAGCAAUAUACUCUUUGCAGUUCUCCUCCUUCCGUGCAAAGUAGCUAAGAGCCUGUUCCCAGAGACAAGCCUCUUGGUCGCCAUACAACUCACACACCUCAAUCACCUUCUUGUACUGCUCAUUCUGCAUGUGGUAGUGCAUGAUCUGUUGGAAACUAUGGGAGAAAGACUCAUCAGCUGCAACAAUCCAUCUUGCUCUUUGAGGUUUUACAGGGACCUAGGGUUUUCACCCAGCCAUGCAAUCUCCAGACUCACACAGAAGCCAAAGACAAGUCUUUUUUUCACUCUCUCUAACUGCCUUGCUUCAACAGUGAGGUAUUUCUGCAAAGCAAUCAUCUACCAUGCCCAUCUUGAGAUGCUAAAGAGGUCACUACCAUUAAUGGUACAGACAAUUAUGGCUCAGAAAUCGCUGCAGUGGGGGCAAGAGGGGAAGGACAAGACUCUAAAGACAAGAGCAACACUCACAGUUUGCCCUGCUCAUAGAGGUAGAGAACACCAUCCUUGAAAUUGUGCAUCUGACAUAAGACCAAGGCCUUAUCAAAGACUGUUUUGAACCUUCCGCUCUUCAGGAGGGUGAGGGCUUCAUUGUGCAACUUCUCCUUGAUCUACUAAGAAGAGGGAGAGGUCAAGAAGAGGAACACCGGCACACCCACAUACACACUAUUUUGCACUAAGACGUGACAAUUUGGAGCUCUUUCAUGCAGGUCACUUUUGGUACUUGCUCUUUAAACCUUUUAAGCAAACAGGACAUGAUUUUCUUUGCCCAAACAACCAACAUCCUCACAGAUCUAGGCAAGCAAGUAAAGAUACUUUUGUGGGCAAACCAACUGCUCAGAGGCUGUGUUGUCUGGAAUCUGUCCUUAAAUGACAUACAAACAAAACAAGUUCAGCCAUCCUGAAGGGAAUAUUCUCCCAGAUACAAGGCUGCUUUCCCAUUUCUGUGCUAUUUGUCCAGCACAGCAUAUGUAUUGCCUCAUGUUGUCAAUGCCCAGCUGGAAAGGGCAUUGCAGGAAUGCAAAUAUGACUCACAGACACCAAAUCUUUCCCCUCAAAACACAAUGCUGGAGGGAGCUCAAACCUGCUCAUCUUGUUCAUGUGCCCAGUUCUGCAGUCGAAGUUCCAGUAAAGUGUCAUAGACACCCUGUGGAGAGUCAGCCUGCACCUCAGUCAUGUGCUCCAGAAAAGCUUUCAGUUCUCGGGAAUUGUUAGCAAAGACUGGGAUGAACUCCUCUGAAUUAGCCUGUAAAACAGUCAGAAAAAGACAAGUACCCACAUCAUCUAAGCCACACUAGUGCUUCCUUCCUGCCAUGAGGAAUGUUUGCUUCCAGAGUCUCAGACAGGACAGAUACAGCACAAUACAGGAUGCUGACAACAUCGAGGAUCAAUCCUGAGCAAUAACUUUAAGAGGUCCCCUGCCUCUAGGACUACCACAACAUCAGAACAGGGCUUCUCAGAGAAUCACUGAAUAGUUUGGGUGGGAAGAGAACUUUAAAGGUCAUCUAGUCCAAUAUCCCUGCAAAGAGCUGAAACAUCUUCCAUUUCAACAGGUUGCUCAGGUCCACAUCCAACCUCACUUGAGUGUUUCCAGGGAUGGGGCCAUCUACCAAUUCUCUAGGCAACCUGGUUCAGUGUUUCACCAACCUCAUUAUAAAAAGUUCCUUCCUUCUAUCUAGUCUAAAUCCGCUCUCUUUUACUUUAAAAUUAUUACCUCUUGUAGCAUCACAACAGGCCCUGUAAAAAAGUUUGUCCUCAUUUUUCCUAUAAAUUGAGUACUGAAAGGCUGCAAUGAGGUCCUUCCUGAAGCCUUCCCUUAUCCAGACUGGGCCACCCCACCUCACUCAGCCUUUCUUCAGAGCAGGUGUGUUCCAUCCCUCUGAUCAUUUUUAUAGCCCUCCUCUAGACCCACUCCAAAAGGUCCAUGUCUCUUCUGUGCUAAGGGUUCCAGAGCUAGACACAGUAUUCUAGGUGGGGUCUCAUCUGAGUAGAGUUUAUUAAGUUAUAAUUCUCAUUAUACCUAAAACAUCAGGAUGGCAACACAAGGUAUGCAGAAGCACUCACUGCAAAGUUACUACUGGAGAGCAACAACUCUCAGUCAACACAAACCCUACCUUUUUUCCUUCUAGCAUCCCAGGGCCUUCAUUACCUCCCGAGGGACUGUAAUCAGUGCAAAGGAUCUUCAGCAAUUCAGUGGUCUCAUUAGGGACAUGGUGCAUCAGGAUUUUACCAUAUCUCUUCAUGUUACUCUCUGCCUGUUCAAAGGGCAGUUUUCCAAUGUAGUGCAAAGCCUCUUGGUAGUUCUGUGAAGACAGACAACAAAACAAUCACAGGACACUGGCCUCUGCUCUCUACUUUGAGCUUAGGACAGAAAGCAUUGAAGACAUGCUGUGGGUAUGCUACAAAUACCAUUUGCUCUGAAUUAUCAUCUAGUUCACUAUUCCUGCUCAGGGAGAAAGACUGGAUACAGCCUGGGGGAAACAUUUAGAUGAAUCCCCAACUAAGCACUCUCCUUAGAGUGCUCCUCUUAAAGGGCACUGUAAAAAGCCACAUCAGAAAGAAAACAAGAUCUUCUGAUUUCCCCACCUAGUCUAACACACAAGCCAAAAGCAGAAAGGCAACACACCAACAGCAACGAGUAUUGUUGCUGCUGCUCUCACCUGCAUGCUAUCCUCAGCAAAGAGGUCAGUGAAAUUAUAUUCCCGCUAAAGAGGAGGCAUGGGAAUUGGUAUUCUCCCCAGUAAGAACACACAUGCAGUUAUGUCUCCUCACCUUGAUGUCCUCUAACUGGAUUUUGAGGUACCAUUCAUGAUGCUCAUGCUUCUCUGCCAGGUACACGGCAUGGGAGUAGUAACCAGCUUGGCGAAGUACCUUGAUAGCCGUUUCCACAUCAAAGUGGACCUCACUCUCACUCGUCUCCAAGAACAAAAGCAAAGAGAUGGUCCCUCAGAAAAAUUCUAACAGUCCAGAAGCAGUAAUCAUUUAUGUUAGAGGAGGAAAACAUGAGACAUCAUGACAUGGGACAAUCAUGGUACCUCUCGUGCAAGAGAAAAAUCACCCAUGCACAAAGGAAGGAGUCUAACCACUUCUCAUUUGCUUGCCAGUUGCACUGGCAGAAGCAAGCACACUCCAGACCCAGAUGGCAAACCAACCAAACUGAGAAAGUAAACAAGAGCUUGGAAAUAAAGGAGCAAAGAGCAGUGUACUGAGUGGUAGAUUCAUUAUUCUCUCUCUUAACAGUCACAGAGGAGGGAAUUUACAAUGUCACCACAGACCCUUUUUAAUUAUUAUGAUGACAUAAAAAUGUAGCAUGAUUCCAUGACUCCCCAAUACCUUAAUGAACUCUUCCAGUUUGGAGCUGUCUUUGAGUUUGGUAUAGCAAUUCAGCAGAAGUGUAGUGUGGUCUGCAUUAGCCAGGGACUGCAGAUGGAGCAUCUGUAGAUAAGCAGUAAGGUUGUGGAUACGCUGAGCGUCCAGGAAUUUCCGAAUAACAUAAGAUGGUUCUAGCUUCCCUAUAGUUCUGUGAGGGAAAGAGUUACAAGAUAUUGUAUACUCAUGAAAUCAAAAUAAA